GAUAAACGCUGGCGGCGUGCCUAACACAUGCAAGUCGAACGCCCUUACGCAAGUAAGGGAGUGGCGGACGGGUGAGGAACACGUGGGUACCUACCCCCUGGUGAGGAAUACCGGCGAGAAAUCGCCGACAAUACCGCAUAGGUUUGGAAACAAACAAAGCCUUCGCAAGAAGGCGCCAGAGGAUGGGCCUGCGGCUGAUUAGCCAGUUGGUGGGGUAAUGGCCUACCAAAGCGACGAUCAGUAGCUGGUCUGAGAGGACGAUCAGCCACACUGGGAUUGAGAACGGCCCAGACUCCUACGGGGGGCAGCAGUGAGGAAUUUUCGGCAAUGGGGGCAACCCUGACCGAGCAACGCCGCGUGCAGGAUGACGGCCUUCGGGUUGUAAACUGCUUUUCUCUAGGACGAGAUCGGACGGUACUAGAGGAACAAGCCCCGGCUAACUACGUGCCAGCAGCCGCGGUAACAC
rnacentral:rRNA from 1 species